UAGGUGUGAAGCUUUAUCGAUGUAUCCAAGAACUUAUGAUCUUUUUCACGUUGAUGGUCUGUUUACAAGCCAAAGGUGUGAGAUGAAAUAUGUAAUGCUGGAAAUGGAUAGGAUCUUGCGUCCUAAUGGCUAUUAGAUUAUAUGUGAAUCAAGAUGUUUAAUGGAUACUAUUACAUCGGUUGCAAAAUGAUUGAGAUGGAGUUCCAUAAGGAAAAAACAGAGUCUAACUCAGAGAAUGAGAAGCUCAUGAUUUGCCAGAAAAAGUUGUGGUAUUCAUCUAGCGCAACGUCAGAAACAAAGUAGUAAAAAACGUACUUUGUGAUUACGAUAACCUUUUGUUAUGAAACCUCUUUACUUUUUAUGUAUUACUACGA